CUCGCCUGAGUGCUUCAGGCCCUGGCACCUGCGCCUUUUGGAUCUUCGACCCGCUUCCCAGGGAAAAAGCAAGACUUUGCCCCGAGAUAGGAAGAUGCCAGCUGAAUUCCUUGCUUCAAAGCAAACCAGCCUUUCCUGAGCUCCACAAUGAGAAGCCCCACCUUUUUCCUGGCCUGAAUGUUUCUCCUUUUCCUCAAGCGUCUAGAGACUGGGGUUGAGCUCUCCUCACUUCAGCCUCUUUCCAGCCGCCUGGGUCAGGGGCAUUCCCAGCUGCGGCCUCCCCGGCCUUCCCAGCUCCCAGAGAUCAGGUGGGACCCGCUGUGCAGGCUCAGGGGGGAUCUGCCAAUGAACUUGCCCCUCAUUUCUUGCCUGCUGCCUCAGAGUCUCCAGGUUAAACCUCCUCAGUCUGCAUGGGAUCAACAGAGCUUUCGUAAAUGCUCUCUACACAGUGUGGUUUGCCACGUGGGAGGGCCCUCCGGGCCACCAGCUGGAAUAUUUCCAGUCAGAUUUCCUCUGGGUGGGGGGUGGGGGGGGGACCCAGAAUGAUCAUCCUGCAGUGACCUGUGUCCAUCCUGGGACAAGGGUCUGGGGUUGCGCUGGCUGCCGUGAGGUCCCUCUGUUCUCCCUCCUAGGCAGGGGAUUUUGUCCCACGGUGACUUUCAAGGGAAGAAAAAAGCAGAUUUGGAAUGAAGUCUCCAGGACUCGCUGCCGUUCUGAGGGAUUAUUCUCCUCCUUAAUUACUUCUGAGCCAUAUGCCUUCCCCCGCUCCCGGUGAGUGACCUGCGCGCCGUGCCUUCCCCGGGCCCUGACUUUGGCACCAGCCUGGCUCAGCCCUGUCCCAUUCCUGCUGGCAGCAGGGAGGAAAGGCUUUGCUCAGGAGAAGACAGAUUAGUUUGAUUCCAGCCUGCAAUUGUUUCCUAAGUCCCCACGGGCUGGGGGGAUCAGCGCUGGAUCCGCAUCUAGGGAACCACAGGAGCAAAAUCUCAACUACCCCGGAACUCGGAGAGCAAACCUCGUCUACGCACCCUGCAGAGUGGGAGGGAGGGGUGCCCCCUGCCUCCUGUCCUUCCGCAAGGUCCCCUCCAGCUCCUGCCCCUCCUCCGUCGUCCUCCGCCCUCGCCUCCCUGUUCUCUUCACCCUUUGGCGUUUGGUCGUCUUAAAUACAAAGAGCGGAUGGGAGAAACGUGGCUCGUUCCGAUGGAUGCUGUCAGGGAGAUAUUCCAAAAUGGGACACCGGCCUGUUUGACGGUAACAGGAGGUGAAUGGCCACAAAGGCAAUGGACCUUUACUCUCACACCGCUAGCAGACGUCCAUAUGCUGCUGGAUCCAUCUGACCUGCUGCCCAAACUCCACAGAUUCGGCACCAUCUCCGGGGGGACACAGUGGACACAGAGCCCGAGGAGGGUCCUGGCCAGUCUACUCUGAGGUGUUACACUAGGAGUGCUAUUUCAUCUUGGAGUUGGGCAAUUUCAAGAAGCAUUUACAAAGCCUCACAAAAAGAAAACUUGAUCUACUUCAGGAGUGGAUUCCAUUCUGAUGAGCUCUUCGGAGAGAUAUGGAAGGGAAAAGUAGGACAUUGUGAAAUCAAACCAACAAUUACAAUGUCUUAUAACUCCAACUUGGUUGGCAAUUAUUGGUUCAAGUCACACUUUCCACAGGGUCAGUGUCUCAGAACAGUGUUCUUCAAAAAUUACACAGCCACUUGUUAAAUAUGCAUAAACCAGAUUUAUUUCCAUCUGCCCCAGUAUGUGUGCCCUCAUACUGCCCUCAGCUGGCCCUACUCCCUGCUCCUGGCUCUUUCUCUUUCCAUGGCUUUGUUAUUUCUGUGUUUUUGUUUUUGCCAGGGAUGCCCUGCCCCUUAUCUAGUCCAGGGACAUCCUGAGAAGCAUUUAAGUCCACCUUGAGGUCCCCUUUCUCACUGUCAGUAUCCUCUCUUUGUUCAUAUGUGCAAGUUUUGUCUUCCCAAUUACUCAUCAUUGAAUGUGGGCCAGCGGCAGCAGUCUUAUCCCAAUUUUAUAGCCCCCAGCAAAGGGUAGUACAAAGGACAGAGCUCCUGAUCAGUGGACUGCAAACCCAGUCAAUUUCCAGAAUCACCUGAGCUGUUCUUAAAAAUAUCUACUAAGUGAAAAUCUCUGGAGGGGAGGUCCAAGAAUCAGCUUUUCACAUUUUUUUAAAAUGUUUAAAUUUUUUUUAAUGUCACAGGUGUUAAUUCUGAUGAUAGGUCAGAUUUGAGAAUGCCCAAUGAUGUGAAAGGACUCUGUGUCAAGUUUUUGGCAGUUCAGUGAUAGAGCUUCUGAGCCUUUGACUUGUUCUAACAAAACCAAAAGGCUUUCUUCCUAAGAGGUGCUCCGUGAGUCCUGACCACUGGAGUCCAUGAAAACAUUUGGCUGCUAUGAUGCUACACGCAUGGAGAUAUUGGCUUUCUCUUCCCCAGAGAUAUUUAUGUCUUUCCUUACUUCGCAUCACAUCCACCUCCAAACUAAACACCACUGGUCUUACUAGCCAGUUGAUUUUGCAUCCAGAUGAAUGGGCUUUGCUUGGCAACUAUCAUUUUCCAUCUCUCCUGCUAUAAAAGAUGGCUUUUCCUUGGCCAACAUACAGGACAAGUUCUCUUCAGCUUCAGUGCUUAGUAAUGGUUUUGUUCAUGACAUGCUUGUCCAUUCUCAGAAGGGACAAUCCCAACCACUGUCAUUACCACUUUACCAUGCUCUCUUAGACAGUGCCCCCUUAAAUGUGGUGCUGGGCCAUUCAUCUGUGCCAGUACAGCUCAGACUGCAGACUAACCUGUAGACACAUGCAGCCAGCUUUUGCUCAGAGGUUUGCCUGCAGUCUUUCUAAUCUGUGGUUUGGACUCUCCUAUAAGCCCCUAACCUUGGGCCUAGGAUAUUCUUUAAUAUGUUGACAUGAAAAAUUUUCUGAAUUUGAAGCUAUCAAAUUUCAUUUCUCAUGUGCUAUCCAUUUCUUGUCUUAUAGCUUACCGUAAGGACAUAAUAUCAAUAUUAAUAAAACCAUUUAUUGAGAACCUAA